UAAGUAGAAUAAAUGAUCGCGGCUGCAAUUCCGAAAGGAAGCAGGUGAGGAAAGUCCGGGCUUCGUAGGGCAGGAUGCCGGAUAACGUCCGGUGGAGGUGACUCCAAGGAUAGUGCAACAGAAAUGAACCGCCCCGCAUUGCGGGGUAAGGGUGGAAGGGCAGUGUAAGAGACUACCGUCCGUCUGGUAACAGACGGAGCCAUGUAAACCCCAUCCGAAGCAAGACCGAAUAGAAAGCAAUAGGCCGGCCCGGCCUGCUUUCAGGUGGGUCGCUCGAGGUUAUCGGCAACGAUAAUCCUAGAUAGAUGAUCAUUCACGACAUAACCCGGCUUAUCGUUCUGCUUAGCAA
rnacentral:RNase_P_RNA from 1 species